CAGUCGCCACGGUAAUACGUAGGGUGCGAGCGUUAAUCGGAAUUACUGGGCGUAAAGCGUGCGCAGGCGGUGAUGUAAGACAGAUGUGAAAUCCCCGGGCUCAACCUGGGAACUGCAUUAGUGACUGCAUCGCUGGAGUGCGGCAGAGGGGGAUGGAAUUCCGCGUGUAGCAGUGAAAUGCGUAGAUAUGCGGAGGAACACCGAUGGCGAAGGCAAUCCCCUGGGCCUGCACUGACGCUCAUGCACGAAAGCGUGGGGAGCAAACAGGAUUAGAUACCCCCGUAGUCCCUGUCUCUUAUAC
rnacentral:rRNA from 1 species